CCUACGGGAGGCAGCAGUGGGGAAUUUUGGACAAUGGGGGCAACCCUGAUCCAGCCAUGCCGCGUGAGUGAAGAAGGCCUUCGGGUUGUAAAGCUCUUUUGGUCGGGAAGAAAGCGCCUUGCCUAAUACGUGGGGUGGUUGACGGUACCGGCAGAAUAAGCACCGGCUAACUACGUGCCAGCAGCCGCGGUAAUACGUAGGGUGCGAGCGUUAAUCGGAAUUACUGGGCGUAAAGCGUGCGCAGGCGGUUUGUUAAGUCUGAUGUAAAAGCUCCUGGCUCAACUGGGAGAGGACGUUCAAUACUGUCAGGCUAGAGGACGGCAGAGGGAGGUGGAAUUCCCGGUGUAGUGGUGAAAUGCGUAGAUAUCGGGAGGAACACCAGUGGCGAAGGCGGCCUUCUGGGCCGUUACUGACGCUCAGACGCGAAAGCUAGGGGAGCGAACGGGAUUAGAAACCCCGGUAGUCCUAGCCGUAAACGAUGUAGACUUGGUGUAGGUGGUGUAAAAGCCAUCGGUGCCGAAGCUAACGCGAUAAGUCUACCGCCUGGGGACUACGGCCGCAAGGUUAAAACUCAAAGGGAAUUGACGG
rnacentral:rRNA from 1 species